rnacentral:rRNA from 1 species
CCUACGGGAGGCUGCAGUGGGGAAUAUUGGGCAAUGGGCGCAAGCCUGACCCAGCAACGCCGCGUGAAGGAAGAAGGCUUUCGGGUUGUAAACUUCUUUUAAGAGGGAAGAGCAGAAGACGGUACCUCUUGAAUAAGCCACGGCUAACUACGUGACAGCCGCCGCGGUAAUACGUAGGUGGCAAGCGUUGUCCGGAUUUACUGGGGGUAAAGGGCGGGCAGCCGGGAAGACAAGUCAGAUGUGAAAUCCCGCGGCUCAACCGAGGAACUGCAUUUGAAACUGUUUUUCUUGAGUACCGGAGAGGUCAGCGGAAUUCCUAGUGUAGCGGUGAAAUGCGUAGAUAUAAGGAAGAACACCAGUGGCGAAGGCGGAUGACUGGACGGCAACUGACGGUGAGGCGCGAAAGCGUGGGGAGCGAACAGGAUUAGAUACCCCGGUAGUC